rnacentral:rRNA from 1 species
CGCGAAGGCAGCUCACCGGGCCGGAACUGACACUGAUGCUCGAAAGUGCGGGUAUCAAACAGGAUUAGAUACCCUGGUAGUCCGCACAGUAAACGAUGAAUACUCGCUGUUUGCGAUACACUGUAAGCGGCCAAGCGAAAGCGUUAAGUAUUCCACCUGGGGAGUACGCCGGCAACGGUGAAACUCAAAGGAAUUGACGGGGGCCCGCACAAGCGGAGGAACAUGUGGUUUAAUUCGAUGAUACGCGAGGAACCUUACCCGGGCUUAAAUUGCGCUGGCUUUUACCGGAAACGGUAUUUUCUUCGGACCAGCGUGAAGGUGCUGCAUGGUUGUCGUCAGCUCGUGCCGUGAGGUGUCGGCUUAAGUGCCAUAACGAGCGCAACCCUUAUCUUUAGUUACUAACAGUUUUGCUGAGGACUCUAAAGAGACUGCCGUCGUAAGAUGCGAGGAAGGGGGGGAUGACGUCAAAUCAGCACGGCCCUUACGUCCGGGGCUACACACGUGUUACAAUGGGGAGCACAGCAGGUUGCUACACGGCGACGUGAUGCCAAUCCGUAAAACUCCUCUCAGUUCGGAUCGAAGUCUGCAACCCGACUUCGUGAAGCUGGAUUCGCUAGUAAUCGCGCAUCAGCCACGGCGCGGUGAAUACGUUCCCGGGCCUUGUACACACCGCCCGUCAAGCCAUGAAAGCCGGGGGUACCUGAAGUACGUAACCGCGAGGAUCGUCCUAGGGUAAACCUGGUGAUUGGGGCUAAGUCGUAACAAGGUAGCCGUA